GGCGAACGGGUGAGUAACACGUAGGAAUCUGUCCAACAAUGGGGGACAACUUGGGGAAACUCAAGCUAAUACCGCAUACGCCCUACGGGGGAAAGAUGGGGAUCUUCGGACCUGUCGUUGAUGGAUGAGCCUGCGUCGGAUUAGCUAGUUGGUAGGGUAAAGGCCUACCAAGGCGACGAUCCGUAGCUGGUCUGAGAGGAUGAUCAGCCACACUGGGACUGAGACACGGCCCAG
rnacentral:rRNA from 1 species